UUGGAAUGAACAAAAAUAGAGCCCUGGAAAUCCACCUAACUCGGCUUUUAUUCUCCUUAGAAAGAACAGGUCUUGAUUGCAAAAUAGAUUCCAGGCCCACCUAUCUCCCAGCAGGG
rnacentral:snoRNA from 1 species